rnacentral:rRNA from 1 species
CAAUAGCGUAUAUUAAAGUUGUUGCAGUUAAAAAGCUCGUAGUUGGAUUUCUGGUUGGAGCGACCGGUCGGGCAUUGAUUUGUCUGCACUGGAGUCGGUUCUGGCCAUCCUCUUGGAAAGUGCGUCUGUCAUUAAGUUGUCGGGCGUAUGAUCCAGGUCUUUUACUGUGAAAAAAUUAGAGUGUUUAAAGCAGGCCUUCGCCUUGAAUACAUUAGCAUGGAAUAAUAAGAUAGGACUUUGGUCUAUUUUGUUGGUUUGCAGACCGAAGUAAUGAUUAAUAGGGAUAGUUGGGGGUAUUUAUAUUCCAAUGUCAGAGGUGAAAUUCUUAGAUUUUUGGAAGAUAAGCUUAUGCGAAAGCAUUUACCAAGGAUGUUUUCAUUAA